rnacentral:rRNA from 2 species
GGACUACACGGGUUUCUAAUCCCGUUUGCUCCCCUGGCUUUCGCGCCUCAGCGUCAGGAGGGGCCCAGCGCGUCGCUUUCGCCACCGGCGUUCCUUCCGAUAUCUACGCAUUUCACCGCUCCACCGGAAGUUCCACACGCCCCUACCCCCCUCGAGGCGUUCGGUAUCCGGGGCCCUUUCCCGGUUGGGCCGGGAGAUUUCACCCCGGACUCGAACGCCCGCCUACGCGCCCUUUAAGCCCAGUGAAUCCGAACAACGUUCGCACGGUUCGUCUUACCGCGGCGGCUGGCAC